rnacentral:rRNA from 1 species
CAGUAGCCACGGUAAAACGUAGGGUGCAAGCGUUGUCCGGAAUUAUUGGGCGUAAAGAGCUCGUAGGCGGUUUGUCGCGUCUGCUGUGAAAUCCCGAGGCUCAACCUCGGGCUUGCAGUGGGUACGGGCAGACUAGAGUGCGGUAGGGGAGAUUGGAAUUCCUGGUGUAGCGGUGGAAUGCGCAGAUAUCAGGAGGAACACCGAUGGCGAAGGCAGAUCUCUGGGCCGUAACUGACGCUGAGGAGCGAAAGCGUGGGGAGCGAACAGGAUUAGAUACCCCAGUAGUCCCUGUCUCUUAUAC